AUUGAACGCUGGCGGAAUGCUUUACACAUGCAAGUCGAGCGGCAGCGCGGGGCAACCUGGCGGCGAGCGGCGAACGGGUGAGUAAUACAUCGGAACGUGCCCAGACGUGGGGGAUAACUACUCGAAAGAGUAGCUAAUACCGCAUACGAUCUAAGGAUGAAAGCGGGGGAUCGCAAGACCUCGCGCGUUUGGAGCGGCCGAUGGCAGAUUAGGUAGUUGGUGGGGUAAAGGCUUACCAAGCCUGCGAUCUGUAGCUGGUCUGAGAGGACGACCAGCCACACUGGGACUGAGACACGGCCCAGACUCCUACGGGAGGCAGCAGUGGGGAAUUUUGGACAAUGGGCGGAAGCCUGAUCCAGCCAUGCCGCGUGAGUGAAGAAGGCCUUCGGGUUGUAAAGCUCUUUCGGCCGGGAAGAAAUCGCAUGGGUCAAUACCCUGUGUGGAUGACGGUACCGGAAUAAGAAGACACCGGCUAACUACGUGCCAGCAGCCGCGGUAAC
rnacentral:rRNA from 1 species